UCGUCCACCAGGAGGACGGACUGGGCCUGCUGCCGAGCCGCCCCUCCCCCCACCGGACCGACGCUCUCCUGGGUGUACAGAGGCCGGCCGAUCUGGUGAGAGGUCAGAGGUCAGAGGUGAGCCCUUCAGUCUGGAUGCUCUGCGGUCCAGAGGUUGGAUGCCUCUUAACUUAACAAGGGGUCUGACCUGUUGUCCGGGGUACUCCCAGGUGAACUCCACGACCACGUCCUGUUCCCCCACCGCGGAGCAGCUGACUCGGAGGUUCUCCCCCAUGGCCACGGAGCCCGAGGAGGCCUGGACCACCGGAGCCGGAGGAGCCGCCGGGUCUGAUGGAGGAACCCACGUUCCCAGGAGAGCUCAGUGAAUAAAGUCACUUACCGAAGUCGCAGAUGAAGCCGCACACGAGCAGCGCGCUCAGCACCGCCCCCCCGCGGGACCCCGACACCUUCGCCCGAGGCAUGAUGGACCGCU